rnacentral:rRNA from 1 species
UACGUAGGCAGCAAGCGUUGUUCGGAGUUACUGGGCGUAAAGGGUGCGUAGGCGGUCCUAUAAGUAUGGUGUGAAAUCUCCCGGCUUAACUGGGAGGGUGCGCUAUAGACUGUGGGACUAGAGUGUGGGAGAGGAAAGUGGAAUUCCUGGUGUAGCGGUGAAAUGCGUAGAUAUCAGGAGGAACACCGGUGGCGAAGGCGGUUCUCUGGGAAUGUUCGUGACGCUGAGGAGCGAAAGUGUGGGGAGCGAACAGG